rfam:Capsella rubella cultivar Monte Gargano unplaced genomic scaffold scaffold_8, whole genome shotgun sequence.
UUCGCUUUGGUCGAGUGGUUAAGGCGCUUGCCUGCUAAGCGAGUGGGGUUCCCCCGCGAGAGUUCGAAUCUCUCAGGCGACG